UGCAAGUCGAGCGAGAAGACGUAGCAAUACGUUUGUAAAGCGGCGAACGGGUGAGGAAUACAUGGGUAACCUACCCUUGAGUGGGGAAUAACUAGCCGAAAGGUUAGCUAAUACCGCGUACGCUUCUUGGACUUCGGUUCAGGGAGGAAAGCGCUACCGUGGGUAGCGCGCUCUUGGAUGGGCUCAUGUCCUAUCAGCUUGUUGGUGAGGUAACGGCUCACCAAGGCUUCGACGGGUAGCUGGUCUGAGAGGACGAUCAGCCACACUGGCACUGCGACACGGGCCAGACUCCUACGGGAGGCAGCAGUAAGGAAUAUUGCGCAAUGGGCGAAAGCCUGACGCAGCGACGCCGCGUGGGGGAUGAAGGUCUUCGGAUUGUAAACCCCUUUCGGGAGGGAAGAUGGAAUGGGGUAACCCAUUCGGACGGUACCUCCAGAAGCAGCCACGGCUAACUUCGUGCCAGCAGCCGCGGUAAUACGAAGGUGGCAAGCGUUAUUCGGAUUUACUGGGCGUACAGGGAGCGUAGGCGGUUCGGUAAGCCCUUUGUGAAAUCUUCAGGCUUAACCUGGAACAGUCGGAGGGGACUGCCGGGCUAGAGGACGGGAGAGAAGCGC
rnacentral:rRNA from 1 species